rnacentral:rRNA from 1 species
AGAGGUGGCAAGCGUUGUUCGGAAUUACUGGGCUUAAAGGGCGCGUAGGCGGCAGAGCAAGUCUGAGGUGGAAUCUCAGGGCUUAACCCUGAAAUUGCCUUGGAAACUGCCUUGCUUGAGUCAGUGAGGGGAGGGCGGAAUUCCUGGUGUAGCAGUGAUAUGCGUAGAUAUCAGGAGGAAGGCCUGUGGUGAAGACGGCCCUCUGGCGCUUGACUGACGCUGAGGCGCGAAAGCGUGGGGAGCAAACAGGAUUAGAUACCCUGGUAGUCCCACGCCCUAAACGGUGGGUAUUAGGUGUAGGGCUCGCGAGGGUUCUGUGCCGUAGGGAAACCAUUAAAUACCCCCGCCUGGGGAGUACGGCCGCAAGGUUG